ensembl:lncRNA
CUGCUGUCCAUCUUUUCUCUUUCCUCUUCCUUUUUCUGUCUGUCUGUCACUCCUCCCUUCCUCUCAGAGACUAGAGGAGGUGACUCAGGAGCUGGAGCAGAGGGAGGAGGAGAGCAGGAGCCUCAGAGAGAAAUGCUCCGAGCUGGAAGAGAAACUGACCGCAGCCAUCAAACACAGGGACGAGCUACAGCAAGUAGGUCUCUCUCUCUCUCUCUCUCCGUCUCUCUCUCUCUCUCUCUCUCUCCCCCUUAUUCGUGUGUUUCAGUCUGUACAGAGUGAACGAGUAGAGCAGGGGGACAGGCUGGGGGCUCUGGAGAAGAUCAUUGCACAGAAGGAGCUGCUCCUGCUGGGCAUACAGGAGGAGAAGAGCUCCCUUCAGACAGAGCUCACUGCCGUCAGAGAGGAGAACAGGGCUAAGCUCACAGCAGCACUGGCACAAGCACGGAAAGAGAAGGAGGAGGAAACUGAGCGGCUGAAGGUUCAGUUGACUCAGACUCAUGAGCACGAGCUACAGAUGGUACAACACUGACACAGCACACAUCACUACACCACAGAUGGUUUCCACUGAGUGCUUACUUGUUACAUGUGUCUGCAUGUGCAGGUUCGUUCUCAGGGACAUGAGUCCAAAGCAGAAGCCCUCAGAGAGCAAGCUCUUACCCACACUCGCAACACUGAGUCCCUACAGAGCUGCAUUCAGGUGAAGGAGCAGGAGGUGAAGAGACUGCAGGAGUCUCUUAAGCAACAGCAGGAGGUGCUAAGGAGGCGAGAGGUGGAGCUGAGAGGAGAGGCUCAUGAACAGGUGCAGAAGGCAGUGGAGCAAGAGCAGGGUAAGUUUGAGGAGCAGGUGCAGGACUUGGAGAGGAGAUGGAGAGCAGAUGUGGAGAGAGAGAGGAGGAAUGCGUUGGCUCUGCAGAACAAGGUUCUGGAGAUGCAGACGCGGGUAGAAGAGCUGGAGAGUGAAGCAUCUGUGCAGACGGUGAGGCUCAGAGCUCUGAGAGACGAGCACCAGGUGGAGUUACAGAGACUGAACAGGCAGCUGAAACAGGAGGCUGAGAGUGAGGCUGCACGUCUGAAACAAAGUGUGAAACAGUCAGAGAAGCAGCUCCAGGGCCUGAAAUCGGCGCUUGCUGAGUGUGAGCGGGUCCACCAGGGGGCAGCAGAGAGACAGGAGUGGCAGAACUCAGCCUGGGUUCAGGAUAUACACACAGAGUGCAUGUGUCUACAGGAGCUGCUCACACACAAUGGCCUGAGUGUGGAUACCAAACACCUCUCACACAGUGCUACAGUGAGCGAGGCCGUGCAGGCGCUGCAGUCUCUCAGAAAACCUCUCCAGCAGCUCAUCAUCAGCCUGCAGACUCGCAUCAGCUCACUCACUCACGCCAACCAGCAGAUCAGCGCAGAGAAGGAGCUUCAGAGGGACCAGUUGACGGCAGAUAAGGAGAGAGCUCUGAAUGCGUUAAAGGAGAAACUCAUACAGGAGCACAUAGAAGAGCUGAGCAGUAUGAGUUGGGUGCGGCUGGGUGAGGAUGAUGAUGGUCUGCGCAGGCAGCUGCAGGCUAAAGAUGAAGAGCUGCGGCAGGUGCAGAGAAACAUGGCGAAGUGGAAGGAGAAAACAACCAAACGCCUCGCCCAGAAGUUUGAGGAGGAGCUCAGCACUGAGCUGGAGAGGAGAGUCUCCAAAACCAAGUUGGAGCCACAACGGAGACUGGAGCUGCUUGAGGGAGAGAUGAGACACUUGACUCGGAACUACAAAGACCAAACAGACGUGGCAUCUGCUUCUUCUGCUAUUGUCCCAGACUUGGCAAGCACUCCCAGUGGCCACGACCUGGCUUCAUACAAGCUACUACGGCACCUCCAGAGCCGUAUCCAUCAGCUCCAGGCAGACAACCAGACUCACCCACCCAGCCCUGUGCAUCCCAAGGGGGUCCGAGAAGCUGGAGACUUGGCAGGGUCCUACCUUGAAACUAUUGCUCCAGUGCAGGAACGUUAUGUGUCACAGCGCUCCAGCGUGAGGACAGCACCCAGUUAA